CACCCAUCACUGAUGCAUGUGGCUUGGCUCCCUGGAUUGCUUUGUCCACAGAUGUUGCUAGCUUGGCAGGUCCUCAGCUGUGGUCCCCCGAUGAUAUGUUUUGUUGUGAAUUACUGGUUGGUAACUUCCUCUGUUUUUAUUUUCCUUUCUGUCUCACAGGUUCUCAGAAAGGAAGGCCACAGCAGCUGCCAUGGUGCCAUAAGAAACAAAUAUCACUGGAAAUCAUGGGCCGUGGUUUGGAAGUGCCAGUCAGGGCUCCGGCCAAGCAGCAGCCCAGCGGUGCCACGUCCAAAACCAACAUCUGCAGGCGAGAGGCCGGCCAGAACAAAGGGGGAAAGGCUCCCAGCUCAG